rnacentral:sRNA from 1 species
UAGGGAUUGCAGUGGUAGCUUUUGCCGAGGCACGCAUCGAGGCAAAACUUUUAACGUAAAGCCCGACCCCGC